rnacentral:rRNA from 1 species
UACGUAGGGGGCAAGCGUUGUCCGGAUUUAUUGGGCGUAAAGAGCGUGUAGGCGGCUUGGCAAGUCUGCUGUGAAAACUCGAGGCUCAACCUCGAGCUGUCGGCGGAAACUGCUUGGCUAGAGUCCGGAAGAGGAGUGUGGAAUUCCUGGUGUAGCGGUGAAAUGCGCAGAUAUCAGGAGGAACACCAAUGGCGAAGGCAGCACUCUGGGACGUGACUGACGCUGAGACGCGAAAGCGUGGGUAGCAAACAGG